rnacentral:tRNA from 1 species
UACAUUUUGGUGUAUGAAGCACGAAAAUUUUUGAUGUUUUUAGAAAUAGUUUAAUUCUAUUAAAUGUAA